GAUGAACGCUGGCGGCGUGCCUAAUACAUGCAAGUCGAGCGAACGGACGCGAAGCUUGCUUCUCUGAUGUUAGCGGAGGACGGGUGAGUAACACGUGGAUAACCUCCCUAUAAGACUGGGAUAACUUCGGGAAACCGGCGCUAAUACCGGAUAAUAUUUUGCACCACAUGGUUCAAAAGUAAAAGACGGUCUUGCUGUAACUUCUCGAUGGUUCUCCGCUGCAUUAGCUGGUUGUUAAGGUAACAGCUUUCGAAGGCAACGAUGCAUAGCCGACCGGAGGGGGGGAUAGGCCACACGGGAACUUAGACAGGGUCCAGACUACUACGGUAGGCAGCAGUAUGGAAUCUGCCGCAAUGGGCGAAAGCAUGACGGAGCGGCGCCGCGUGAGUGAUGAAGGUCUCCGGAGCGUAAAACUCUGUUAUUAGGUAAGAACAUAUUUGUAAGGAACUGUGCACAGCGUGACGGUACCUAAUCAGAAAGCCACGGCUAACUACGUG
rnacentral:rRNA from 1 species